rnacentral:rRNA from 1 species
AGAACGAACGCUGGCGGCAGGCUUAACACAUGCAAGUCGAACGGUGAACCGGGCUUCGGCCCGGGGAUCAGUGGCGAACGGGUGCGUAACACGUGGGCAACCUGCCCCAGACACUGGGAUAACUCCGGGAAACCGGGGCUAAUACCGGAUACUCCGGUCGAACCUCAUGGUUCGAUCGGGAAAGCUCCGACGGUCUGGGAUGGGCCCGCGGCCUAUCAGCUUGUUGGCGAGGUAACGGCUCACCAAGGCGACGACGGGUAGCUGGUCUGAGAGGACGACCAGCCACACUGGAACUGAGAUACGGUCCAGACUCCUACGGGAGGCAGCAGUGGGGAAUCUUGCACAAUGGGCGAAAGCCUGAUGCAGCGACGCCGCGUGGGGGACGAAUGCCUUCGGGUUGUAAACCCUUUCGGCAGGGAGAAGCGCAAGUGACGGUACCUGCAGAAGAAGUCCCGGCUAACUACGUGCCAGCAGCCGC